rnacentral:rRNA from 1 species
AUUGAACGCUGGCGGCAUGCUUUACACAUGCAAGUCGAACGGCAACGAGGAGAAGCUUGCUUCUCUGUCGGCGAGUGGCGAACGGGUGAGUAUAGCAUCGGAACGUGCCAAGUAGUGGGGGAUAACCAAACGAAAGUUUGGCUAAUACCGCGUAAGCUCCAAGGAGGAAAGUAGGGGACCUAAAUAAGGCCUUACGCUAUUUGAUCGGCCGAUGUCGGAUUAGCUAGUUGGUGGGGUAAUGGCUCACCAAGGCAAUGAUCCGUAGCGGGUCUGAGAGGACGAUCCGCCACACUGGGACUGAGACACGGCCCAGACUCCUACGGGAGGCAGCAGUGGGGAAUUUUGGACAAUGGGGGAAACCCUGAUCCAGCCAUGCCGCGUGUAUGAAGAAGGCCUUAGGGUUGUAAAGUACUUUUGUUAGGGAAGAAAAGCUAGUUUUUAAUAAAAAUUAGUGAUGGCGGUACCUAAAGAAUAAGCACCGGCUAACUACGUG